CGGGGGGGGGGGCAAGCGUUGUUCGGAAUUACUGGGCGUAAAGGGCGCGUAGGCGGGCAAGACAGUCUUUCGUGAAAUCCCACGGGCUCAACCGUGGAACUGCGGGAGAUACUACUUGUCUUGAGUUCGGGAGAGGAGUGUGGAAUUCCCAGUGUAGCGGUGAAAUGCGUAGAUAUUGGGAGGAACACCGGUGGCGAAGGCGGCACUCUGGACCGAUACUGACGCUGAGGCGCGAAAGCUAGGGGAGCAAACGGGAUUAGAUACCCCGGUAGUCCUAGCUGUAAACGAUGAGCACUUGGUGUAGCGGGUAUCGACCCCUGCUGUGCCGGAGUUAACGCAUUAAGUGCUCCGCCUGGGGAGUACGGUCGCAAGGCUG
rnacentral:rRNA from 1 species